AUAAUGGUGUAAGCCUACGGGGGAAGCCAGCCAUUCAAAGCAAUUCGCGCCGAUCACGGUACUUCUAAGAGCGGUGUGAAAAACCGUGCCGUGUCAAGGUUUGAUGGAUAAAAGGUUUGUAACAUUUUAACAUGUUCCGGUGGACAAUUUUAAACAAAUUAUAAUGUCAUUCGUCCUUCUCUGGACCUUGUUGUUAUAUUGGGUAUCUAAAUCAGCAAAAGAAGAAGCAAGAAGAAGAAUUUGCGCUCUUUGAAAGUAGGUAAAUGCCUUACAUAUUGUAUAAAAUAAUCACGAAUAUGUGUUCCAACACCAAAAAACUUAUCCGGACCUGAAGAAAGUCGCCUAACCGAUGAUGCAAAAUUUCAAGUGGUAGGGCGAAUGAGAAAUGCAGGAAAUUUUGUAUAAAUGCCUUUGGACCUCGUAAAGUCCGCGUAAAAUUUUAGCAAAGGGGUUCCGUCGGACUGCCUUUACCACUACUCUAUCUCAAUAGAGUAAGUAAGUGUGUAAUAAAGGUCAGUCGUUACGCAAAAUUGCAUUGGCAAGAAUAACGGCUUGCCCUUAUGCAAAGAACAAAAAGAAGAAAGCAGAAAAAAAACUCGCGUCAUAAUGGUCUCUUUUCCUAAAUCACUCUAUUAUGCAAGAGAGAGCCGUGAAAAGAGGAAUGCCCAGAGUCCGACUGUGUAUUUAGAGCAUGUUAGUUUUUUGUUUGUUUCUGAAGUUCUGAACAGAUUUGGCGUAGCACUUUGUCAUGUUAAGAUCUCGUUCAACGAUAUUUAAGAGAAAAGAAGAGAAAAAAUUAAACACGAGCAAAACAAAGAGAAAACGGACAGUUCUGGUUUUGAUGCUCUGUGCGGUAAGUUGAGUAGGAUUUGAGCGGUGGUGCUGUGAGAGCUGGAGUGUGUUGGUUGACAGUAGAAGGAAAAGCGCAUCGAUUUCGGAAAUGCAGACUAUUUUUUAAACAUCUUGAAUGGAAUGCUUGCGAAAGCAAAAAAAAUAAGAGACAAAUAAAACAAAAAAAUAUAUUCAUGUAAAAAACAGAAAAUUAUAAAAAUUUUGUAAAAAAGUUUUUGAACUACUGAUCGACACAGCUUUUGAAGAAUAACAUACGCGAAGAAGAAAAUUAUUAAUAUUAAAAUAUUAGUAAACAAAAAAAAUUAUUAUCAAAAGAAUUUAACAUUAAUAUAUUAAUCAAAAUUUGGCAAACGACUGCCUGCAUCAUAGACUAAAGUAUAGAAAUUUAAACACAAGACGAGAAAUUUUUGUGGAAUAUUUUGUUAACACGGCUUCCCGUCGUCAGUAAAGUUGCUUUUUGCUGUAGUUGUUACAGUAACAGAAAUAGCGUAACAGCGCUGGGACUUUCAUUUCACAACUCGUUCUAGUUCAGUAGAAAACCGGUUCAUAAGUAUGAUUGUGAACGGGGUAGGAAUCCCAUGGCUGUCCCGUUGGGUCCGCGGAAUACAAUUGGGACAUUGAUCUGCCCCCCCGACAUGUAGAAUGUUUUAGCCGCUGAAUUUAUAACCUUGCAUCAAAUUGUUUAAAGAUAUAAAAAUUCACGAAGGAACAUAUUGUGGAAAAGAACAUUUGCAAGCAC